GACGAACGCUGGCGGCGUGCUUAACACAUGCAAGUCGUACGGUAAGGCCCUUUCGGGGGUCCACGAGUGGUGACCGGGUGAGUAACACGUGAGUAACCUGCCCACAACUCUUGGAUAACGCUAGGAAACUGGUGCUACUACUGGAUAUGUGCCACUGCUGCAUGGUGGGGGUUCGAAAGCUCCGGCGGUUGUGGGUGGACUCGCGGCCUAUCAGCUUGUUGGUGGGGUAGUGGCCUACCAAUGCGGCGACGGGUAGCCGGCCUGCGGGGGUGACCGGCCACAUAGGGACUGAGAUACGGCCCAGACUCCGACGGGAGGCAGCAGUGGGGAAGAUUGCACAAGGGGCGCAAGCCUGAUGCAGCAACGCCGCGGGCGGGAUGACGGCCUUCGUGUUGUAAACCGCUUUCAGCAGGGACGAAGCUUUUUGUGACGGUACCUGCAGAAGAAGCACCGGCUAACUACGUG
rnacentral:rRNA from 1 species